rnacentral:rRNA from 1 species
UACGUAGGGGGCAAGCGUUGUCCGGAUUUAUUGGGCGUAAAGAGCGUGUAGGCGGCCAGGCAGGUCCGCUGUGAAAACUCGAGGCUCAACCUCGAGAGGUCGGUGGAAACUGUCUGGCUAGAGUCCGGAAGAGGAGAGUGGAAUUCCAGGUGUAGCGGUGAAAUGCGUAGAUAUCUGGAGGAACACCGGUGGCGAAGGCGGCGUCCUGGACCAACACUGACACUGAAAAGCGAAAGCCAGGGGAGCAAACAGG